ACGGGCCUCGAAACAGCUCGUCCUCGCCACCCUCCGGUUUGCGCAGACGAGGCCCCGGGCGUUGGCCGGAACCCUGGGGACCGAGCAGGGGGGUCCUGGCUUCCCGAUGUGUGGUGGGCGACCGAGCCAGCGUGGAGAGGAGCCAGGAGCCUCGUGCUGCCGGGCCAGCAGUCCUGGGGGCUGCUAAACGCGCCCGCCGGAGACGCUCGGGCGCAGCUGUUCCUAGGCAUCCCAUAUUGAUUUUUCUUCCCGGUUUGUUGUGGGUGCUGGGGGAGAGAGAAUCAAUCCAGUGAUGAGACAAUCGCCUCAGGUGUCUUUGCAAAUGUAGCUGAGGAGUCGGGGGUAAAUUGCCAUCUCCUUCUAGAGAAGUUUUCUAGCUUGGAGAAAUUAGUCUCAGGAAUCUCCACACCCUGCUAGCUGCAACAGAACCGCAGCUUGGGUUUGCAGGAGUUAAAUGAGUUCAGAUUCUGAAAACUAAACUUCUGAUGUAAAGAAUAGGCAAAAGAAGCUAAAGCCUUUUGUUCAGAAAAACGUAGCUUUGAGGCAAUUCAGUGGCAAUGGCUAAAGAUAAGAAGAAAGAUGGCAAAAAAACAGAGAAGUUAACACUUGCCCCUCCUCCUCCACCUGAUACUUCAUUUGAAGGUGGUUCUUCAGUACAGCUGUCAUAUGUCCAGACAUCAUUGAAUCAAGCAGAGGAAGCACAAGCAAGCUCUUUAGAAUCCCAAGAAGAAUCAAAAGAGAUGGAAGAACCUGUGAUCCAAGAAGCAGCUCAGUAUUAUGAGGAGCCUAUUCUAACUCAACUUAUUGUAGAAAACUAUGAAGGAGAAAAAGUCCAUGGAUUAUAUGAUGGAGAAGGUGUAGCAUAUUUUCAGGGAGGAAAUAUAUACAGAGGCAUGUUUUCCGAAGGACUCAUGCAUGGACACGGGACUUAUACAUGGGCAGAUGGAGUGAAGUAUGAGGGGAAUUUUGUUAAGAAUGUGCAGAUGUAUAAUGGCAGUUACACAUGGCCUGAUGGCAGCAUGUAUGAAGGAGAGGUGAAGAAUGGAGUCAGACAUGGCUUUGGCAUUUACAAGUGUGGCACCCAUCCAGUUUCAUACAUUGGCCAAUGGUGUGAAGGCAAAAGACAUGGAAAGGGUACCAUUUAUUAUAAUCGGGAAGGUACUUCCUGGUAUGAAGGUGACUGGGUAAACAACAUCAAAGAUGGCUGGGGGAUAAGAUGUUAUAAAUCUGGAAAUAUCUAUGAAGGUCAAUGGGAAAAAAAUGUGCGUCAUGGGGAAGGAAGGAUGAGAUGGCUGACGACUAACCAGGAGUAUACUGGACAGUGGGUAAAUGGCAUACAGCAUGGGUCUGGUACCCACUCCUGGUUUCUGAAGAGAAUUCCUGGGUCUCAGUAUCCUUUGAGGAAUGAAUAUGUAGGGGAUUUUGUAAAUGGGGAUCGUCAUGGACGUGGAAGGUUCUUCUAUGCCAGUGGAGCAAUGUAUGAUGGAGAAUGGGUUUUCAAUAAAAAACAUGGCAUUGGGAGAUUUGUCUUCAAGAAUGGGCGUAUUUAUGAAGGGGAGUUUAUAAAUGAUCAAAUUGCAGAGUACCCAGCUUUUCAAGUGGAUGUAAUGAAUACGCAGGAUCUGAGUGGCAUUCGUACACAAAGUCCCUUUGGCACUGAAACCAUAAGAAUAAUUGAUGGCCCAGGAAAUACCUCUGUGUUGGGAUCAAACAUUGAACUAGACAUAUCUUCAUUGCUGAAUUUGUUUCCGGAGAAAGACAGACAGGAAGAAAUGAAACAGGUAGAAUAUGCGGUAUUGAGACAUAUUACAGAACUGAGAAGAAUCUACAGUUUUUACAGCAGCUUAGGCUGUGAUCAGUCUCUUGACAACACCUUCCUGAUGACUAAGCUCCAGUUCUGGAGAUUUCUAAAGGAUUGCAGGUUUCAUCAUUAUAAUGUAACCCUUGCUGAUAUGGACAGGAUACUGAAUGAAGAUAAAGUAACACCUGAGGAGGUGCAUUCUCCAUAUGAAACUUUACUGCUAAGAACAUUUUUGACUUACCUUAUUCAUCUAGCAGUCCAUAUCUAUCACAAAGAGCACAAAGAUAAAGGUCCAUAUCUGUUUAAGUGUUUCUCAGAAAUGAUGAUGAAGAACAUUAUUCCCAAUGCCUGUCAUAUACAAGGCAUUUUAUUUUGUGAACAACAACAAACUAUCUGUGCAAUUAAUUACAUUGAUAAAUGCUGGGAGAUAUACAGGGCUUAUUGUAGACCAAGCACCAUACCUCCUUAUGAACCGACAAUGAAAAUGAGACACUUCCUCUGGAUGUUGAAAGAUUUAAAUAUGCUAAGCAAACAAUUAACUGCUACAAAAAUUGUGGAAAUACUGGUAAAGGACAAUCCUUUUGUACGCGAUGGAGAUGACAGCAACUUACAGCAUGAGUUGGUUUUUCUUGAAUUCUUUGAAGCUCUCCUUGAUUGCGCCCUGUUAUAUGUUACCAAUGACAUGAUUAAGCAGCAAGUAGAUCUUGUAAAUCAAGAAGGAAAUGGUUAUAGAGCUGAAGAUUACACAGAAGGGGCACGGCAUAUUCUGCAGCACCCAGAAUACUCAUUUCAGUCCAUUCAUAGCAGAAGUAUGACCAGUGCUGAGGUAAGCCACGAACCCUCUGAGACAAAUCACUACUACAUUACUACAAGGUCUUCAAGCAAGCUAGCACAGUCACCUGAUGAUAGAAUAAAAAAACCUGAGCUUAUAUCCAAGGACUCUGCAGUAGAAUACAGAAGUUCCAGACAGACUUUUAAAUCUACUGAAAAAGAGAGAGAAGCCACGGUAGAACAUGCUUCUGUCAUAGGCUGCCGGGCACCAAAGGAAGGAGCUGGAACAGUUCCAAAUGUCACAUUCUCCUCAAACACGGUGUACCGGCUGUCUCCUGAUGACAAAGAUGAAAUGUUGGUUCAGUCUUGGACAGAUUCGGAUGCAGAACAAGGCCAAGUGCUCAGCAACCCCAUGAAAGGAUUUGCAGAUAAACUAGAAAAAGCAAAAAACGAACAGAAGGAAAAACUCAGUCUGUGGCUAAAUCAGAUGUACAUCUUUUUUGUGAACAAGUUCUUUCCUGCCUACAAGCAUGCUCAAGUGGUGAAGGAAAAUGUAGAAGAAAAUAGGAAACGGGAUGCUGAAUUAGCCGUGCAGUUGAAAAUUGAAGAGGAAGCAAAGCUUAUCGCCAUAAGGAAAGCCGAAGAGGCCAAAAAACAAGAAGAAGCUGCAGCAGAAAAAGCAGAGACAGAUAAUGCAGUGGUUAAAGAGCCAGAGGAUUCAGCUACACAGCUGCCACUUCCUGCAAAGGAAGAAGUAGUGAUUCUGCCCCAGCCAGCCAUUAGCAAGGUUUCUGCAGGUGUGAAGAAAAAGAAAAAGUAAAUUAGGCUGACUGUUGCAAUAAUAAAGUUAUAUCUGCAGUUGCCACCUCUGAGAGACUGAACUGCAUAGGAUAACGCCUAAUACUACUCAGAGAUCACAUUCUUCUGGAGCUCAAGUGGUAGUGGUCCUUCUAGUAUCAAUAUGGUCCACAUCAUAAUAUCUGAGCAUUUGAGGCAUAAAGAAUUUUCCUCAUAACAGCUCUUGAAAGUAGGUGGUAGUAACAUAUGACAACCCGGCAGAAUGAUUUACAAAUGAAAAUCAAAAAGAUUGAUUUCUACUUGGCAGACAAAGUGAGCUGCUGUUCAGAAACUGUUCUGCUCUAAGGAAUCUACAGAUUUGCGUUUUCCGUUUGGAUAUUUUCUCAUUGCAUCUAACACCUAGGCACAAAUAUAAUUUUAUAACACAGAUAAUUGUUGUUGAAUAGUAAUACUGAACGUCAGCAAACCUGGACAAAGGGGAGAAGCAAGUCCAAGAUCAAGGACACGUCACUGAAAACACCAAAACCUUCUUAUCAAAAGCAGGGGACUGUUAGAACAAAUGCAUCUGUGAAUCGUAACUGAGAUGACAUCAUAUGAGAAGAAAGGCAGUCUUUUUGAGGGAGCCAGGUCUCAACCUAAUAUUUCGUUUUAUAGAAGCCAACUGGAAACUAUUGUACACUACAGAGCAUGAGCAAUUCCCUGUAGGAUACUACUUAUUAAGCAGGCAGCCACACUCUGCAUUAGCUGAAGUUUCUAAAUGGUCUUCAGACACAACCACUCUGGAGGUGACAAAGGCUUGGAUCACUUGCAACCAUCAUAUGCUGCUCUCUAUUUUGCUAGUUAAGAAUGCCUCUGUUCAGGCCUAUUCUAAAGAAGUAAAAGCUCAUUUGUUUACUGUAUUUUUGCUAUUAACUAAUUAUCACGACUAAAUUUAGAAAUGAACUUGAUUUAACAUAGUACCGUCUAUACUCCAUCUAUACACUAAAGCACUGUACUAGAAAGCAAUUAAAUACUUGGAGUGCAUCAACUGGACAGGCAAAUAUACCAUAUAUAUACACUACAUCACAGCUCAGUCUUAGAAUGAACUUCACUGAGAAAGGCAGUGUGAGCAAGGAUCACAAUUUUAUCACAGCACUUUGCAUUUCCAUAGCACCUUCCAUUUGAAGAGCUAGAACACCAUGCAAAUAUUAAUGAAUUAAGCUUUCCAACAACUAUACAUUAAAUAAACCUUCCUUAUCUGAUGGAUAGGAACACCAACACACAGGGGUGGUAUGAAUUACCCAAUGUCACAGAGGAAGCUAACUCAGAUUUUCUGAGUCCAAGCUCUGCACUUUAACUUUGGUUUUUUUGUUUUUUUGUUUGUUUUUUUUAAGGGUUUUAUGAGAUCUUUAACAUUCAUCUGGCCAGUCACCAAAAAGUGGCAAAAUGAAGGCCCCAUAUAAAGGAAGUUUAUAUGAAUACAGAAUACAGUACUGCAUUAUAUUAGCUCACUGUAUGGUUAGCAUUUUAUAUGAUUCCCAAGCUUUGGUAUAGGAUUAGAAUCCAUGAGGUUCUGGCUUAGAAGCUAGAGUGUUACCAACUGAACUGUACUGACAGUGCUAUGACAAUAUUUAUUCAGAUUUAAAUAGACAGCCUAAAGAACUACCUAUCCUGGCCAUCCGCUAAAUAUAUAUUACAAAACUAUUAGAGAAUCUGAGCAGCAGCAGACCUCCUCUGGCUACGUGCAACCACCAGGCAGCAAGUCAUUACAAAACAAAUCAAUAUCUUACUACAUCGUUAAAUUACAAAAAAAGCACUCCCAAAAAAUAUCUGCUCAAAAAGUAAGACUUUGUAGUGUGCCCUAAAGGCCAACAAUUUGGGCUUUUUUGGAUUGGCAUGUAUGCAUAAAGAAUUAAUUCCCAAACUGAAGAAAGCACUUUCAGAAACUUCCCCUCUUCUAUAUCAAAGGAGCUCCCGCUCAAGUACUUGUAUAACUUACUUAUAUUGCUAUAAUGUAUACGCUACAAGAAAUCUGUGCAAACUAUAUGUGCUGUU